rnacentral:rRNA from 1 species
GUUGGCUCAGAAGCAGCCAUUCAUUCAAAGAGUGCGUAAUAGCUCACUGGUCGAGUGGUCAUGCGCCGAAGAUGUACCGGGGCUCAAACGCGCCACCGAAGCAUGGGAUUCGCGCAAGCGAGUGGUAGAGGAGCAUUGAAUCAGGGCAGAAGCUGGAGCGAGAGCACCAGUGGACUUGAUUCAAGAGAGAAUGCCGGUAUGAGUAGCGAGAGGCAAGCGAGAAACUUGCCCGUCGAAAGCCUAAGGUUUCCUGGGGAAGGUUCAUCCGCCCAGGGUAAGUCGGGACCUAAGCCGAGGACGGAAGUCGUAGGCGAUGGACAGCAGGUUGAGAUUCCUGCACCGCCUUGAGAAUGAUGCAAUGACACAGAAGGAUAGCAUGAGCCGGGUGAUGGUCAACUCGGUUUCCAAAGCGAGGGCGUCUGGUAGUGAAGUACGCCAGACACACAGCCUGAGCCGAAGAGGGAGCGAAAUUCAAGUAGCGAAGCAUGCGAUUUCACGCUGGCGAGAAAAGUUGCUGGUAUAUCGAAGAGGCGCCCGUACCGCAAACCGACGCAGGUAGGCGAGGUGAGAAUCCUAAGACGAACGGGAGAACCCUUGUUAAGGAACUCGGCAAAAUGACCCCGUAACUUCGGGAGAAGGGGUGCCGAUGGAAACAUCGGUCGCAGAGAAAAGGCUCAAGCGACUGUUUAGCAAAAACACAGGUAUCUGCGAAAGCGAGAGCUGACGUAUAGGUGCUGACACCUGCCCGGUGCUGGAAGGUUAAGGGGAAAUGUCAUCGCAAGAGAAGCAUAGAACCGAAGCCCCAGUAAACGGCGGCCGUAACUAUAACGGUCCUAAGGUAGCGAAAUUCCUUGUCGGGUAAGUUCCGACCCGCACGAAUGGUGUAACGAUUUGAGCGCUGUCUCAACAGGGGGCCCGGUGAAAUUGAAGUAUGGGUGAAGAUGCCCAUUACCCGCGACUGGACGGAAAGACCCCGUAGAGCUUGACUGUAGCCUGAUAUUGGAUUUCGGUAACGGAUGCACAGGAUAGGUGGGAGGCAAGGAAGGCAGGACUCCGGUCUUGGUGGAGCCACCGUUGGGAUACCACUCUUCUGUUGCUGGAAUUCUAACAUGGCGCCGUGAAACCGGUGAAUGGACAGUGUCAGGUGGGCAGUUUGACUGGGGCGGUCGCCUCCGAAAGAGUAACGGAGGCGCCCAAAGGUACCCUCAGAAUGGAUGGAAACCAUUCAAAGAGUGUAAAGGCAGAAGGGUGCUUGACUGUGAGAGUGACAACUCGAUCAGAUACGAAAGUAGGGCUUAGUGAUCCGGCGGUAUUGAGUGGAAAAGCCGUCGCUUAACGGAUAAAAGCUACCUCGGGGAUAACAGGCUGAUCUCCCCCAAGAGUCCACAUCGACGGGGAGGUUUGGCACCUCGAUGUCGGCUCAUCGCAUCCUGGGGCUGUAUUCGGUCCCAAGGGUUUGGCUGUUCGCCAAUUAAAGCGGCACGCGAGCUGGGUUCAGAACGUCGUGAGACAGUUCGGUCCCUAUCCAUCGUGGGCGUAGGAAUCAUGAGAGGAGCUGUUCCUAGUACGAGAGGACCGGAAUGGACGCACCACUGGUGCAACUGUUGUCGUGCCAACGGCAUAGCAGGGAAGCGAAGUGCGGAUGGGAUAAACGCUGAAGGCAUCUAAGCGUGAAGCCCACCUCGAGAAUAAGAUUCCAGGCAGCAAUGCGAGAGACCCCUGGAAGACUACCAGGUGAUAGGUCGUCGGUGGAAGCGCAGUAAUGUGUGUAGCUUGACGAUACUAAUCGGUCGAUAGCUUGAUUU